AAUUGGUGAUGGGGACAUUGGCUUAUGAGGAGAUUAUAACGUUCCCAAGCUUUAUGAAAUAAUUCACCAUUUUACUGUGUGAAAAGUGGAUUUUGUUCCUUAAUUC